rnacentral:rRNA from 1 species
GAUGAACGCUAGCUACAGGCUUAACACAUGCAAGUCGAGGGACCGGCGCACGGGUGAGUAACACGUCUCCCACCUGCCCUUUACUCGGGGAUAGCCUUUCGAAAGAAAGAUUAAUACCCGAUAUAAUGGCUGGGGAUGCGUUCCAUUAGGUUGUUGGUGAGGUAACGGCUCACCAAGCCUUCGAUGGAGAGGGGUGCUGAGAGGAAGGUCCCCUACAUUGGAACUGAGACACGGUCCAAACCCCGACGGGAGGCAGCAGUGAUGAAUAUUGGUCAAUGUGCGCUAGCCUGAACCAGCCACGUAGCGGGAAGGAUGAAGGCUUAUGGGUCGUAAACUUCUGUGAUAGAAGAAUAUGUAUUAUAUGAAUAAGGAUCGGCUAACUCCGUGCCAGCAGCCGCGGUAAUAC